rnacentral:lncRNA from 1 species
AUGGUACCAGUGCCUAUGUCUAAGGCAAAUUUGUUUGGUUUCUUCACUUUUUGCAGGCCUUGUGGAGAACUUCAUGGCUUCAUGUGGAACUUCAGAACUUCAUGUGGAGAACUUCACAGCCAAAACUUCGGUAGUGGGAACACACUGAAAAGACCAGAAAUCCUUCCCAAGUCCUUGAGCACUUUAUCCAACAUGGGGUUUCACAAAAGGAUACUGUUCAGCAUCAGAUGAAAAAGCUUUGAGGAUGAAAGCCCAGCAGCGUGCCCCAACUCCUGUAGCAAAUGAGAGGUGUUUAAACAAAGGGUACCUGUAGCUGUUUUCUUCCCCUGGCCCCUUUUUGUGCCCUUGUGCAAGCAAGAAGCUGUAAGCAAGUGCCUGGAGCACGCUGUUCGUAGGGACUUCCAGCUCUCCUUCUAGAACAC